UACGGAGGGGGCUAGCGUUAUUCGGAAUUACUGGGCGUAAAGCGCACGUAGGCGGCUUUGUAAGUCAGAGGUGAAAGCCUGGAGCCCAACUCCAGAACUGCCUUUGAGACUGCAUCGCUUGAAUCCAGGAGAGGUGAGUGGAAUUCCGAGUGUAGAGGUGAAAUUCGUAGAUAUUCGGAAGAACACCAGUGGCGAAGGCGGCUCACUGGACUGGUAUUGACGCUGAGGUGCGAAAGCGUGGGGAGCAAACAGG
rnacentral:rRNA from 1 species